GAUGUUUCAAACCAUUUAAACACAGUAUGAGUAAAAAUGAAAUGUAUGGAUUGGUCUCAUUGAAAUCAGCUGUUCCACUGCAACAUGAAUUUGAUCCCAAAAUAAUUGGCAAAGAUUAUACUUGUAGUGAUAUUAAUUUUGAACUUAAGUAGGGUUUAAAUGCAGUAUUUGUAAUUUUAUGAAACUGGUAUUGAUUCACAAGCAUCUCUAGAACUUUUUUCUAUGAAUGCUGGGUACUAAGUGUUUUUCUGGGGGCGGAGCAUAAUACUUGGCGGCCAUUUUAACAACUUACAUACAAUCAUAAAAAAUUUAACAGUACAUUCAUUAUGUCAAGAAAUUCUACAUGAAUACAAAGGACAGAAAUGGAAAAUAUCGGGAAGUUACGGUCACUUUCCAUGCGUAAUACGUAAUAACGUCAUUUGAGGGCGGCGCCUUUGCGCAGUACUCAGGACAAGGAUGCCAAGUUCCGACUGAUUCUCGUUGAGAGCAGGAUCCACAGGCUGGCCCGUUACUACAAGACCAAGAGUACUGGCCCCCAACUGGAAGUAUGAGUCCUCUACGGCCUCUGCUCUGGUGGCAUAAAGACACUUUUUUUGGGUUAAUAAAACCAUGUAAAUUGGAAA